CCUUCCUCACAGAGUUUGAUCAUGGCUCAGGACGAACGCUGCCGCGUGCCCUAAUACAUGCAAGUCGAGCGGACCGACGGGAGCUUGCUCCCUUAGGUCAGCGGCGGACGGGUGAGUAACACGUGGGUAACCUGCCUGUAAGACUGGGAUAACUCCGGGAAACCGGGGCUAAUACCGGAUGCUUGAUUGAACCGCAUGGUUCAAUCAUAAAAGGUGGCUUUCAGCUACCACUUGCAGAUGGACCCGCGGCGCAUUAGCUAGUUGGUGAGGUAACGGCUCACCAAGGCGACGAUGCGUAGCCGACCUGAGAGGGUGAUCGGCCACACUGGGACUGAGACACGGCCCAGACUCCUACGGGAGGCAGCAGUAGGGAAUCUUCCGCAAUGGACGAAAGUCUGACGGAGCAACGCCGCGUGAGUGAUGAAGGUUUUCGGAUCGUAAAACUCUGUUGUUAGGGAAGAACAAGUACCGUUCGAAUAGGGCGGUACCUUGACGGUACCUAACCAGAAAGCCACGGCUAACUACGUGCCAGCAGCCGCGGUAAUACGUAGGUGGCAAGCGUUGUCCGGAAUUAUUGGGCGUAAAGCGCGCGCAGGCGGUUUCUUAAGUCUGAUGUGAAAGCCCCCGGCUCAACCGGGGAGGGUCAUUGGAAACUGGGGAACUUGAGUGCAGAAGAGGAGAGUGGAAUUCCACGUGUAGCGGUGAAAUGCGUAGAGAUGUGGAGGAACACCAGUGGCGAAAGGCGACUCUCUGGUCUGUAACUGACGCUGAGGCGCGAAAGCGUGGGGAGCGAACAGGAUUAGAUACCCUGGUAGUCCACGCCGUAAACGAUGAGUGCUAAGUGUUAGAGGGUUUCCGCCCUUUAGUGCUGCAGCAAACGCAUUAAGCACUCCGCCUGGGGAGUACGGUCGCAAGACUGAAACUCAAAGGAAUUGACGGGGGCCCGCACAAGCGGUGGAGCAUGUGGUUUAAUUCGAAGCAACGCGAAGAACCUUACCAGGUCUUGACAUCCUCUGACAACCCUAGAGAUAGGGCUUCCCCUUCGGGGGCAGAGUGACAGGUGGUGCAUGGUUGUCGUCAGCUCGUGUCGUGAGAUGUUGGGUUAAGUCCCGCAACGAGCGCAACCCUUGAUCUUAGUUGCCAGCAUUCAGUUGGGCACUCUAAGGUGACUGCCGGUGACAAACCGGAGGAAGGUGGGGAUGACGUCAAAUCAUCAUGCCCCUUAUGACCUGGGCUACACACGUGCUACAAUGGGCAGAACAAAGGGCAGCGAAGCCG
rnacentral:rRNA from 1 species